rnacentral:rRNA from 1 species
GUCCACGCCGUAACGAUGGAUACUAGCUGUUGGGAGUAAUCUCAGUGGCUAAGCGAAAGUGAUAAGUAUCCCACCUGGGGAGUACGUUCGCAAGAAUGAAACUCAAAGGAAUUGACGGGGCCCGCACAAGCGGUGGAGCAUGUGGUUUAAUUCGAUGAUACGCGAGGAACCUUACCAAGGCUUAAAUGUAGAUUGACCGGUUUGGAAACAGAUCUUUCGCAAGACAAUUUACAAGGUGCUGCAUGGUUGUCGU